rnacentral:rRNA from 1 species
GAUGAACGCUAGCGGCAGGCCUAAUACAUGCAAGUCGAGGGGCAGCACGAGUAGCAAUACUUGGUGGCGACCGGCGCACGGGUGCGUAACACGUAUACAAUCUGCCUUUAACAGGGGGAUAGCCCGGAGAAAUCCGGAUUAAUACCCCAUAAUAAAUGAAACGGCAUCGUUUUAUUUUGAAAGCUCCGGCGGUUAAAGAUGAGUAUGCGCCUGAUUAGCUAGUUGGUGAGGUAACGGCUCACCAAGGCGACGAUCAGUAGGGGAUCUGAGAGGACUACCCCCCACACGGAUACUGAGACACGGAUCCGACUCCUACGGGAGGCAGCAGUAAGGAAUAUUGGACAAUGCCCGCAAGGGUGAUCCAGCCAUGCCGCGUGCAGGAAGACGGCCCUAUGGGUUGUAAACUGCUUUUACACCGGAGAAAACCCCUUCUCGUGAGGAGGGCUGAUAGUAUGGUGAGAAUAAGCAUCGGCUAACUUCGUGCCAGCAGCCGCGGUAAGACG